GACGAACGCUGGCGGCGUGCCUAAUACAUGCAAGUCGAACGCAGUGGGGACGGGUGAGUAACACGUGGGUAACCUCCCCUCAGAGGGGAUAACACUUGGAAACAGGUGCUAAACCGAUACGGAUGUAUGGACCCGCGGUGCAUUAGCUAGUGGGUGAGGUAACGGCUCACCAAGGCCACGAUGCAUAGCCGACUGGAGAGGGUGACUGGGCACACUGGGACUGAGACACGGACCAGACUCCGACGGGAGGCAGCAGUAGGGAAUCUUCGGAAAGUGACGAAAGUCUGACCGAGAAAAGCCGUGUGAGUGAAGAAGGUUUUCGGAUCGUAAAACUCUGUUGUUAGAGAAGCGGUAUCUAACCAGAAAGCCACGGCGAACUACGUGCCAGCAGCCGCGGUAAUAC
rnacentral:rRNA from 1 species